UGGGUUUUACAGUCCCUGCAUUGUACACACUGUGCGUAUAGAUCACAAAAGCACAGCGCAUACAAUGUGGAUGCUGUCCUAUCCA
ensembl:miRNA